UGGGGAAUAUUGCACAAUGGGGGAAACCCUGAUGCAGCGACGCCGCGUGAGUGAAGAAGGUCUUCGGAUCGUAAAACUCUGUCCUUGGUGAAGAAAAAAAUGACGGUAGCCAAGGAGGAAGCCCCGGCUAACUACGUGCCAGCAGCCGCGGUAAUACGUAGGGGGCGAGCGUUGUCCGGAUUUACUGGGCGUAAAGGGUGAGUAGGCGGUUAUAUGUGUCAGAUGUAAAAGGCUAUGGCUUAACCAUAGUAAGCCUUUGAAACUGAGAAACUUGAGUGCAGGAGAGGAGAGUAGAAUUCCUAGUGUAGCGGUGAAAUGCGUAGAUAUUAGGAGGAAUACCAGUUGCGAAGGCGGCUCUCUGGACUGUAACUGACACUGAGGCACGAAAGCGUGGGGAGCAAACAGG
rnacentral:rRNA from 1 species